CGCAAGCCUGACGGAGCAAGACCGCGUGGGGGAGGAAAGCCUUUGGGUUGUAAACCCCUUUUCUCAGGGAAGAAGAAAGUGACGGUACCUGAGGAAUCAGCCUCGGCUAACUCCGUGCCAGCAGCCGCGGUAAUACGGAGGAGGCAAGCGUUAUCCGGAAUGAUUGGGCGUAAAGCGUUCGUAGGUGGCAAUUCAAGUCUGCUGUCAAAGACAGUAGCUCAACUACUGCAAGGCAGUGGAAACUGAAUAGCUAGAGUGCGGUAGGGGCAGAGGGAAUUCCCGGUGUAGCGGUGAAAUGCGUAGAGAUCGGGAAGAACACCGGUGGCGAAAGCGCUCUGCUGGGCCGCAACUGACACUGAGGGACGAAAGCUAGGGGAGCG
rnacentral:rRNA from 1 species